rnacentral:tRNA from 1 species
GGGUCGAUACCAAAGCGGUCAACUGGGGCAGACUGUAAAUCUGCUGGCUUUCGCCUUCGCAUGUUCGAAUCAUGCUCGGCCCA